rnacentral:rRNA from 1 species
GCUACACAUGCAGUCGAACGCGAAAGUCCUUCGGGAUGAGUAGAGUGGCGGACGGGUGAGUAACGCGUAGGAAUCUAUCCUGUAGUGGGGGAUAACGUUUCGAAAGGAACGCUAAUACCGCAUACGCCCCAAGGGGGAAAGCGGGGGAUCUUCGGACCUCGUGCUAUAGGAGGAGCCUGCGUCGGAUUAGCUAGUUGGUGAGGUAAAGGCUCACCAAGGCGACGAUCCGUAGCUGGUCUGAGAGGAUGAUCAGCCACACCGGAACUGGAACACGGGCCAGACUCCUACGGGAGGCAGCAGUGAGGAAUUUUGCGCAAUGGCCGCAAGGCUGACGCAGCAACGCCGCGUGGGUGAUGAAGGCCUUCGGGUCGUAAAGCCCUGUCAGGUGGGAAGAAAGUCACGAGGUCGAAUAGGCUUUGUGUUUGACGGUACCACCAGAGGAAGCACCGGCUAACUCCGUGCCAGCAGCCGCGGUAAUACGGAGGGUGCGAGCGUUAUUCGGAAUUACUGGGCGUAAAGCGCGUGCAGGCGGGAAGGUAAGUCUGAUGUGAAAGCCCUGGGCUCAACCCGGGAAGUGCAUUGGAUACUGCUUUUCUUGAGUACUGGAGAGGAAGGGGGAAUUCCCGGUGUAGAGGUGAAAUUCGUAGAGAUCGAGGAAUACCAGUGGCGAAGGCGCCCUUCUGGACGGUUACUGACGCUGAGACGCGAAAGCGUGGGGAGCAAACAGGAUUAGAUACCCUGGUAGUCCACGC